rnacentral:rRNA from 1 species
GCGGGAAUUCGAUUCCUACGGGAGGCAGCAGUGGGGAAUUUUCCGCAAUGGGCGAAAGCCUGACGGAGCAAUACCGCGUGAGGGAGGAAGGCUCUUGGGUCGUAAACCUCUUUUCUGUGGGAAGAAUAAAUGACGGUACCACAGGAAUCAGCAUCGGCUAACUCCGUGCCAGCAGCCGCGGUAAUACGGAGGAUGCAAGCGUUAUCCGGAAUCAUUGGGCGUAAAGCGUCCGUAGGUGGCUAUUCAAGUCUGCCGUCAAAGACUGGGGCUUAACCCCGGAAAGGCGGUGGAAACUGAAUAACUAGAGUGCGGUAGGGGUAGAGGGAAUUCCCAGUGUAGCGGUGAAAUGCGUAGAGAUUGGGAAGAACACCGGUGGCGAAAGCGCUCUACUGGGCCUGCACUGACACUGAGGGACGAAAGCUAGGGGAGCGAAAGGGAUUAGAUACCCCUGUAGUCCUAGCCGUAAACGAUGGAUACUAGGUGUUGGCAGUAUCGACCCUGCCAGUACCGGAGCUAACGCGUUAAGUAUCCCGCCUGGGGAGUACGCACGCAAGUGUGAAACUCAAAGGAAUUGACGGA